rnacentral:rRNA from 1 species
UAGGGAAUCUUCGGCAAUGGACGAAAGUCUGACCGAGCAACGCCGCGUGAGUGAAGAAGGCUUUCGGAUCGUAAAACUCUGUUGUUAGAGAAGAACAAGGACGUUAGUAACUGAACGUCCCCUGACGGUAUCUAACCAGAAAGCUACGGCUAACUACGUGCCAGCAGCCGCGGUAAUACGUAGGUGGCAAGCGUUGUCCGGAUUUAUUGGGCGUAAAGCGAGCGCAGGCGGUUUCUUAAGUCUGAUGUGAAAGCCCCCGACUCAACCGAGGAGGGUCAUUGGAAACUGGGAGACUUGAGUGCAGAAGAGGAGAGUGGAAUUCCAUGUGUAGCGGUGAAAUGCGUAGAUAUAUGGAGGAACACCAGUGGCGAAGGCGGCUCUCUGGUCUGUAACUGACGCUGAGGCUCGAAAGCGUGGGGAGCAAACAGG